GCGCGGAGGAGGAGCGUUAACGGCGCCGGUCAGCAGGGCGGACAUGGCGGCUCACAGCUCUCAGUACCUCUGCUGAAUUGUUUCUCAGCGCUUAAAUCGAAGACUUUCCUGAUAAUAUGAAGUUUGAUACCACUCGGAAUCGUGAACGAGCUUUGAUUCCGUCCUGCGCGGCCACGCGGCGUGUCUGUCUGUGCGUAAAGCUGUGAGUUUGUGAGGCUGCAAAGUUUCCAGGCUGAGCUCCAGAGCAGGGCGGCUGUUUCAGAGGAAUGAAGCCCUCUGAUGGCCCCACAAUCCCUCUGAUCCCAGCUCUCUCUGGACUAUCUGAGGACUGACUGUCUCAAACCAAAACAGCCAGCUGAAGACAUGAACCAUCACUGAACUUCAGGAAAGAUUGACAGUUUGACCAAGAGAAGAUUUAUUCAAGCUUACAUUGUGAAAUCUCUAAAUCAUGUUUUUUAUACUUAAGUGCACAAAAUAUAUUUAACUAUGCACACAAAAAAUCAUAUGUAAUAAAGAGAGAUAAUAAAGACCAAAUAAUCAAAUAUAAAA